CCAAAUAAAUAGUUAAAAAGUAAAAAUAUCAAAAAACAAGACUAAAAAAAGGUAACUUACGCCAAGAAGCAGAGAAAGUUUCUGGCGAAUCAAUCCGAUUCUGGCAAACUCGUUUCGAAUGGAUCCGCUGUCCCCGGCGGUGACAGUGUCUUCACCUCGUUGGAGAAGCAUUCGGAGGAGCGUUGUGACGCCCCCAAAAUAGGUAUACAUCACCUAUUUUGAGUCGCCAAAUACAUGGUACAGAAUACAAAUACAAACUUAAUUAUACAACCGUCGUGUAAUAUACUACAAUACAUAUGCUGUGAGUUUUAAUACAAAUAUUGUUAUCUAAACAAUAUUCACACUCAAUUGAGUCCUCAUUACAUUUAUUAUCACACUAUUUAACAAAAUAGUGAGGACUACUAAUGCUAUUAUCUGGACCGUCACUCCGUUCCCCGACUAGUCCCUGCUACGUUCUCAUUUCCUUAUAAA
rnacentral:lncRNA from 1 species